GCCCGGGUGGUGGAACAGGGAUACACAAGGGACUUAAAAUCCCUCGCUUUUUAAGCAUGCGGGUUCGAAUCCCGCUCCGGGCACCA
rnacentral:tRNA from 1 species